rnacentral:tRNA from 1 species
GACCGCAUAGCGCAGUGGAUUAGCGCGUUUGACUUCGGAUCAAAAGGUCGUACUGUGGUCG